CUGUGCAGAUGGAGCUAGGCAACAGAAGAUUUGCCAUAGGUUCUUAAGAAUUAACUUAAACUGAGCAGAAAGCACAAGCAAGGUUUAGAGCCUCUACAAGAACUGACCAUUCUAGCAAUAACAAACAGUCUCUGGGAGGAAGAGAACUACCCAUGUUACUUUUCACCGCAACAGUGUUGCAUGUAUUUUGCACAUCUGGAACCAGCCCACCCCAAGCUGCCAAUUCGUUUUUUGAAUGCUGAGUAAGAUUGGGCAUGAGGAGACAGGGCAUCCUUGGACUACAACGGAAC